GAAGUCGAAACGUGUCGUAUUGCUUUCCCCAGUUGACGUGGCUGCAUAUUAAGGUAGAAACGUGCACCUUUCUGUUUGGCCAAUUGUGCUUGGCUUCCCGCAAUUCGGUUUUUGCCCAACCAAACCGCGUCAGCUUCCCUUUUAACUAGCCCUAAUCGCUAAUGCUAAAGCUUUUACAAUAAAGGUUGCCAUUCUACACAAGGAGAAUGCUGUUGUUUUUAAAAGAAACUGGAAGCUUUUCUCUCCCUUUCACCUCUCAUCUCUAUAUCUCAAAUCCUUUUCAGUUCUCGCCAACAUCAACUCCAUCGCGUCGCCGUCGUUUCUCUCACGCAUUGCGACUACAUCUCUGCAACCUCAUUUCUUUGUCUACGCAAUCUCGAGUCAUGGCAGCAGCCGAAGACUGGAGAUGCUGCUUGCAUGUGGCAUUCGUUUUUGUUUUUUUGAAGGCUGGAGAUUCUCAUGCUCAUGCUUUCUGUUUCUCUCCCGAGCAUUUUGAAGCCAAAUGAUUCCGUUGAUGAGGUUUUCAAGGGAGCAUUGUCAGUGAACUGAUCGCAGGAUCAAUAUCAGUUCAUAAGUUGUUGAAGUUGAUGUAACCAGCUGCAAAACCAAGAAGGCACACAUAAUUGUUUCCUAUUCAAGUAAACUGUAAGCAUGAGCAAGGUCAAUGCAAUGGUGCUUUUGCAUUUAAAGGUUAUCAAAGAAAAAAGGGCUUGGCAUCAAGAUUAUGCAAAGCAACUGGUAGACAUAAUUAAAAUGCUUGUUAUAUGGAGGGAAUUAUACCCCAAUUUUGUAGCUCUUGCUGGUGUAUCAUAGUUCUGUUGCUGUGGCUGGCUAAGCUGAAGAUGGACAGGCACAUUUGAAUCCUCCUCAAUUGCCGCAUCAUUGAUGCUAAGGUAAUCUCUGUUUAGUCCAUUUACAUUUCCUGCUCCAUACACCUGGGAUAUGCAAAAUUUUAAAUGAGGAUGGAUUAAAAAUGUUUGCCAAUUUCAUGGAGAAAGGUUUGACUAUUUGCUUCAUCCGUCCAAGUCCAAUUGACGGUUGUGUUACUUAUCCAAACCUCUACCAUCAUAUACAUUUGCCUGUCCCCUUGAAAAAAUAUUUUUACCUUCUUAUACAGUUCCACAUUUUCUUGGUGAAUGAGGUUUCCCUGAAAUAAAACAAUAAAGUUUAGCUACUUGAAUUGUGGAAAGCUUCAGAAGUAAAAUUACUGGCCAUUGUCUCAGGGGUUCACCUUUCUCUUUAGUUCUUGUAUUUCGUCCAUUAACAUAUGGUCCUAAAGAAAUCAAAUAUUAAUAUCAGUGACAUGCAUGUGCU